GACGAACGCUGGCGGCGUGCCUAAUACAUGCAAGUAGAACGCUGGAGGAGGAGCUUGCUUCUCUGGAUGAGUUGCGAACGGGUGAGUAACGAGUAGGUAACCUGCCUGGUAGUGGGGGAUAACUAUUGGAAACGAUAGCUAAUAACGCAUAAUAUUGACUAUUGCAUGGUAGUCAGUUGAAAGGUGCAGCUGCACCACUACCAGAUGGACCUGCGUUGUAUUAGCUAGUUGGUGGGGUAACGGCUCACCAAGGCGACGAUACAUAGCCGACCUGAGAGGGUGAUCGGCCACACUGGGACUGAGACACGGCCCAGACUCCUACGGGAGGCAGCAGUAGGGAAUCUUCGGCAAUGGACGGAAGUCUGACCGAGCAACGCCGCGUGAGUGAAGAAGGUUUUCGGAUUGUAAAGCUCUGUUGUUAGGGAAGAACGUGUGUGAGAGUGGUAAGCUCACGCUGUGACGGUAUCUUACCAGAAAGGGACGGCUAACUACGUG
rnacentral:rRNA from 1 species